GCACAGCCAAUGUGGACAGGGAGCUAGCUGGGCUUACACAUUGCUGCCCCGUGGCUUUCCUCAGUGAAAGCUCACUUUCUCUGUUUUUCUCUUCAUCUGGCUCUCACAGCCUGACCUCCUCGUGUGUGCUGAUUCUGAGCUGGCAGCAUUGUUGCUCUCUAAGUCUCUAACCUCUUUUCUCUGAGCUCCAGCUCCUGUCACUAUUAAGCAGGGGAAUGUUGGCCCUGUGUUCCCACAGGUAGUAAGGUUGAACUGAUUCCUGAGACAGUUUGCUUCUCCUUGACCCUGCUCCUAUCUUCGGGUACUCGUGAAUAGAAGACUAGUCUAGCUAUUCUCACCUUUCAGAGACCAAGACUCACUGUUUAUCAUUUUCUUUUACAUUACUUGGUGCCUGGACUUUGGAGUUAGGGUUGUCACUCUGUAGUGAAAUGAAGAGACUUUAUUUGGGCUCAUAUGUCCUCUAAAACUCUUAGCUAUGAGAGAGAAUGAACGGUGGGAAGAGGAUGGGAUAUAAGUUCAGACAGAUGUAGACUUGAAUCCUUGAAUUUUCCCUGUCACUUAUUUAACAUGAUGAUGUAGGGAUGUUAAAUCUCGGGUGCUUUACUUCAGUGUUCCUAUGAGAUCUUUCCUGCUGUCACUAAUAUGGUACUUCACUGGUUGCUGAGGUGACUCAAGAAGGGAUAAAGGGAAAUCACUUAUGCUAUGUGGGAAGAUUGUUGUAUUAGUCAGGGUUCUCUAGAGUUACAGAACUUGUAGAAUGUCUCUAUAUAUUAAGGGAAUUUAUUGUGAUGUCCUACAGUCUGUAGUCUAACUAAUGUACAGCUGUGGAUGGGACGUCCAAGAAUCUACUAGUUACUCAGUCACACGAGGCUAGGUAUUUGAGUUGCUCUGUUUUAAAAAAAUUUUAUUUAUUUUAUGUAUAUUGUACAUUGUAGCUGUCUUCAGAUGGUUGUGAGCCACCAUGUGGUUGCUGGGAAUUGAGCUCAGGACCUGUGGAAGAGUAGCCAGUGCUCUUAACCAUUGAGCCAUCUCUCCAGCCCUGAGUUGGUCUGCUGUAGAAGUAGAUUCCAACAGAUGUGCUGGCAGGUAAGUGCAAUCAGUCCAAGAAGUGUGAAUCUUCCUUCUUCCAGUGUUCUUAGGUAGGCCUCCAGCAGAAGGUGGGGCCCAGAUUAAGGUGUGUACCAACAUGCCUGGACCUGGGACUUGCUUUGUCCCCAGCUGACCUUGAACUCAGAUGUCUCCUUGCCUCAGUCUCCUGGGAGUAAAGGAGUGUACUACUUUAUCUGGGCCUAAACUUUUCUUCGUGGCAACUAUACCUCAAGGUCUUCAUGUCAGGAUCCAGAUCUGAAACGUGUGUCUUCCAGCCUCGAGAUCUGCAUCACAAGUGCAUCUUCCAAUUCUGGGUUGUGAUUCAUUCCAGAUAUAGUUAAAUUGAGAACCAGGAAUGGCCACCACAGUGCUAGAUAUGGGUAAUUUUCCUUUCCUAAGAGGGCCUGGCUGUUAUGCAUGUGAAAUGAAUUUAUAAUAACAAGAAGAAAAUAGGUUCAGACUAAAGUUAUUUUUAAAUAAGAGCUGUAUUUGGUGCAGAAGAAUAAACACAGGCUUCGGAGCUUGAGGUCACUUCAAUCAGAAAGUGCUUCUGAAAUCCAGCUAGGAGUGAGCAGAGGAACAAGAAACUUCCCUGUGUAGUUCUGAAUAUUAAAACUAAAUUGUUUUGCAGGAAGAGUGCACUAGUCUUAACUAUGCAGGUGCCACUGUCUUGAAGACAUUUGCCUGGUGGCAUAGUCCCUGUUCCCCCUUGGGCAACUCUGAUUCCUGCCAAUCCUAUGCUGGUUCUUUAAAUAUUGCUCAGACCUUCUUGCCUCUGCUUUGUACCUGUUUUUGUGUCAGACCUUUAAACAUUUUGGACUUGAGUUUGAGUGCAUUUCUUAACUUAGGUGACUGUGUUUGUCAUCUCUGUGUUUUAAACCCACCCUGACUUGGCCACUAUGGUUCUUAGUUGUUCUGUCAACCGUUUGAUUAACAUAUCCGUUUCUACAUUUUGGUUUCCACUUACUUGUUUUCUCAUCCUCCCCACACUGGCACUUAUUCAACAUAGUGCUACCCAAGGCAUUUGUACUAAUAAACACCUUCAUUUUCCCAUCAUCCUCUGCUCCAUUUGUGUUCAUAGACAUCAGGUUUACAGAGACAGGCCGAUUUCCGAGGAGAUUCCCACCACAUCAAAGUAACAGACUAAGUGUGGCCCAUGUGCUGCAAGGAUUGUAAUGGGUGCAUAAAGGAAAGCAGCCUUCACUGUUGGGGAGCAGAGGUGACCUAGUGGGAUAUGUGACCAUAGUUGUUAUAGAAAGUGAUUCUUUUGUUUGUAGAAGGAGAUACAGUAAAGGCAAAAGGACAUUGGAAAUAGGAUACAUAACCAGAGGAGCCUGAGUAUCGUCUCAUCAGGGAAGUACACCAGGCAGGUUUAGCUAGAGGAGGAGCUGUGAAAUAACAGAGAAUGUUUGGGAAUGGUGGUCAGGCAACCAUAUCAAGGAAGGCCUUGUGGCCAUGCAUUCUACUGAGUUCAGAUUCUCUUCUUUGGAGACGGGCCUCUGGAAGACUGUGAACAAGACCACGAUGUGACUAGAGUGGAAGUGAAGAAAAAGCCACUCUCCUUGGAAUAUGGAGAAUAGAUUGAAGAACAGCUGUCUUCAAGACAAGAGGACAACGAUGCUGGCAAAAUGUGGGAAAUGUGGAAGCCCCUCAUAUAUUGUUAAUAUAGCUGCUGCAGAUAUCAGCAUGGACACUUUUGUAAGACUAAAAGUGAAACCACUAUAUGGCCCAACUGUACUUCCAGGCAACACCAGCAGGACUGAAAGGCAAUAUACCACAGAGAAAUUUACAUAACCAUGCUUUCUGCUGCGCUAGUCACAAUUGCUAAAAAAUAGAGCUCUCCUAGAUGUCCAUCAAGAAAUCAAUGGACAGGAGCUGGAGAGAUGGCUCUGUUUAAGAGCACUGGAUGCUCUUCCAGAGAGCCUAGGUUAAAAUCUGGAAUUGAAGUUCCAGGGCAUCUGGACUCCACAUGCUCAAGGCAUACAUGUGUUCCUUGAACAUACGUGCAGGCAAAACAUAUAUACAUAUGAAAUAAACAAAGAGUAAAUAAAAAAGAAUGAAUGUAUAGCAAAUUUUAAAAAGCGUACAUAUACACACCAGAACUUUAUUCAGUUAUGGAGGAAAAUGAAAUGGUGUCAUUUGCAGGAAAAUAGAUGGAACUGAAGAUCAUAUUAAGCAAGAUAAGCCAGACUUAGAAAGACAAAUGCUACAUGUUUUCUCUUGCGUUCAGAAUCCAGAUUUAAAUGUGUGUGUUGGGGACUAGAGGGACCAUGGCAGGGGAGGAAGUGAAGAAAGGGCAAAAGGAGAAACCCUUGGUCCUGCCAAGGCUCAACCCUCAGUGUGGGG
ensembl:lncRNA